ensembl:lncRNA
GGACUUUGCUUGGUCUUGGUCUUGGCCUCAGUCCUGAUCAUAAAAUGGAUCAUGGAUCAACAAAGUCCUUCUACAGAGCAAAGAUCUUCCAAAAGUCUUCGCCUCACUGUGCGUGCAGAUAGACUCACACCUGCCUGCUGCCAUUCCUGAGCAAGCUCUGCACUGAUGGCACUUUGAUACCGCAGCUGAGUCAUCUUUAGGAGACCAUCCUGGCGCUUGCUGGACUUUCUUGGACGCCCUGAAGCCUUCUUAACAAUAAUUGAACCUCUUUCCUUGAAGUUCUUGAUGAUCUGAUAUAUGGUUGAUUUAGGGCCCCAGUUUCCAUGUGUAUCAUCCUUCAUUCAGUGGCCAAGAGAAUAUUGCAGGCCGAGAGAUAAAAGUCCACGUUUUGAGAUGUGGAGGUGGAAAUGGUCAGACAUAUAUCAGCUAGGAAAUUAUAAUUUUCAUCUGCUAGGAGGGUUGUGUUUGGGACUCUGAUGAACUUUUACUUACUUUUUCUGCAGGAUUUUGCAUUGGCA